UUAAGGGAGAAGAACCUUACCAAGGCUUGACAUAACACCGGAAACGGCCAGAGAUGGUCGCCCCCCUUGUGGUCGGUGUACAGGUGGUGCAUGGUUGUCGUCAGCUCGUGUCGUGAGAUGUUGGGUUAAGUCCCGCAACGAGCGCAACCCUCGUUCUAUGUUGCCAGCGCGUUAUGGCGGGGACUCAUAGGAGACUGCCGGGGUCAACUCGGAGGAAGGUGGGGAUGACGUCAAAUCAUCAUGCCCCUUAUGUCUUGGGCUUCACGCAUGCUACAAUGGCCGGUACAAAGGGCUGCGAUACCGUAAGGUGGAGCGAAUCCCAAAAAGCCGGUCUCAGUUCGGAUUGAGGUCUGCAACUCGACCUCAUGAAGUCGGAGUCGCUAGUAAUCGCAGAUCAGCA
rnacentral:rRNA from 1 species